AAAAGAUUGUUAUUGCUAAAUAAGAGCAAGGGCUAUAUAGUCAUGCUCUUGAUGGGUUAAGAGGUUGCCUUUUGGACGAACCCUCCUCUUUCCAACCCUGGUCUUAGGGGGCUAAGAGGUUUAGGAUUCUCUCAAAGGUUGAACUAUUUGGAAGGACUCGAAAAUGCAUUCUGCAGCUGAUUGGAAGAGGCAUUACUGUCACUAAGAAGAAGAUGCAUGGGGUGAGCUAGACAUGAAUUGAAAUUUGCUGCAAAUCUGUCUUGAACUAUGGAGAUUAAUCUGUUUAAGCUGUGGAGAUUUAUUGUUAUUGCUGGUUAUGCUGUUUUGAUGCUAUCACAUUGGCUUUUUUUUUUUGAUAUAUAUUGGAGGGCUAAGAGAAUCUGAGAUUGAAGGAUCAGGCAAUGUUUUGUCUGUUGAACUGUAUCUGUGAUGUCACGACUAUUGAUCCCAAGCUCAUGCCUUCAAAGAUCAUUUAUUAUUCUGCUAAUUGGGUUCGUGUGCUGUCAAAAUGGUGCUGGUGUCAUGGAGGAAGUCUUCAAGGUUUCGGGCUGGAAUUGCUUAUCUGAGUUUCUGCUGCUGUGAUAAUGUGCUGAACCUGCUGCUGAAUUUCAAUACUGAAGAUGGAUAUGGUUACUGCUACAUUUGGUUCUUUGUUGCUGGUGAUGCUACUUUGAUACUAUGAAGCUGAUUUUGAUCUCAAGAGUAUCAUGACUCUGGUUCUGUUGUUUGGACAUGGAUAUUGCUUGUCAUGGAUUUAAGAAUCAGUUGAUUGUUGUUAUCUAGUGAGGACGUGACUAUAUGGUUUUGAUGUUAGGUGGAUGUCACUCUGCUUCCGUUUGUGGCUUCAUCCAAUUUUCAUUGGAUGUUUUUUCUUUUCUUUUGACCUUCUCUUUUGCUUCAAGGUUCUUCUUGUAGCUUUAGUUUCGGCCUCCUCGUACUCUUUGUUGAGUUCUAAUAAAAUUUUGUUGCUUAUAAAAAAAAUAAAAAAGAAGAGCAAAGGCCUAGCUAAUUGUUGAAAAUCUAGCUGUUAGCUGUACAUGUUAUGCAGAUUUGCAUGUUAAAUACUUGGUAGUUUUUUUUUUUAAUAGAAAUUUUUUUUUUAUUAA